GUGCUUGCUUCAGCAGCAUGUGUACUAAAACUAGACCAAUACAGGGAGGAUCAGCACGGCUUCUGUGUAAGGAUGACAUUCAAAUUCGUGAAGUAUUCCAUAUGUAA